GGAUUGUGGCUCAGUGGUAGAGCACUUGCCUCAAUGUGUGAGACACUGGGUUCAAUUCUCAGUACCA
rnacentral:tRNA from 1 species